UACAGAGGCCCCGAGCGUUAAUCGGAAUCACUGGGCUUAAAGGGUGCGUAGGCGGGUCAGUAAGCGCUUUGUGAAAUCCCACAGCUCAACUGUGGAACCGCAGGGCGAACUGCUGAUCUUGAGGAAGCUAGAGGCUGGUAGAACGAUAGGUGGAGCGGUGGAAUGCGUAGAGAUCUAUCGGAAUGCCGAAAGUGAAGACAGCCAGCUGGGGCUUUCCUGACGCUAAAGCACGAAAGCGUGGGGAGCAAACCGGAUUAGAUACCCGGGUAGUCCACGCCCUAAACGAUGUGCACUAGACUGGAGCGGCUCUGACGUCGUUCUGGUCGUAGAGAAAUUGUUAAGUGCACCGCCUGGGUAGUACGGUCGCAAGGCUAAA
rnacentral:rRNA from 1 species